GGGCGGCUGGCGCAAUGGUAGCGCGUUGCUCUCCUAUAAGGAGUUGCAAAGCAAAGGUUGCAGGUUCGAGUCCUGCGUUGCUCG